rnacentral:rRNA from 1 species
GGUGUUGCAUGGCUGUCGUCAGCUCGUGUCGUGAGAUGUUGGGUUAAGUCCCGCAACGAGCGCAACCCUCAUCCUUAGUUACCAUCAGGUAAUGCUGGGGACUUUAAGGAAACUGCCAGUGAUAAACUGGAGGAAGGUGGGGAUGAUGUCAAGUCAUCAUGGCCCUUAUGGAGUGGGCUACACACGUGCUACAAUGGUGGCUACGAUGGGCUGCAAAGUCGCGAGGCUAAGCUAAUCCCUUAAAAGCCAUCUCAGUUCGGAUUGUACUCUGCAACUCGAGUGCAUGAAGUUGGAAUCGCUAGUAAUCGUGGAUCAGCACGCCACGGUGAAUACGUUCCCGGGUCUUGUACACAC